GGCCUACUGGUAUUUGCACAGGCAGUGUUCUUUACAGGACUAUUUAGAAAGAGGAGGCCCAGUAAAUCCACCCCAUAUAUACCUCCACAAAGGCCCUUUGCCUGGUCUCUAAUGUGAAUGGAAGGACAUGG